CGGGAGAAUUGCUAGCUUGCUAAUAAUUCUCUAGUGGCGCACGGGUGAGUAACACGUGAGUAACCUGCCCCCAAGAGUGGGAUAGCCCCGGGAAACUGGGAUUAAUACCGCAUAAAAUCGCAAGAUUAAAGCAGCAAUGCGCUUGGGGAUGGGCUCGCGUCCUAUUAGUUAGUUGGUGAGGUAACGGCUCACCAAGGCGAUGACGGGUAGCCGGUCUGAGAGGAUGUCCGGCCACACUGGAACUGAGACACGGUCCAGACACCUACGGGUGGCAGCAGUCGAGAAUCAUUCACAAUGGGGGAAACCCUGAUGGUGCGACGCCGCGUGGGGGAAUGAAGGUCUUCGGAUUGUAAACCCCUGUCAUGUGGGAGCAAAUUAAAAAGAUAGUACCACAAGAGGAAGAGACGGCUAACUCUGUGCCAGCAGCCGCGGUAAUACAGAGGUCUCAAGCGUUGUUCGGAAUCACUGGGCGUAAAGCGUGCGUAGGCGGUUUCGUAAGUCGUGUGUGAAAGGCGGGGGCUCAACCCCCGGACUGCACAUGAUACUGCGAGACUAGAGUAAUGGAGGGGGAACCGGAAUUCUCGGUGUAGCAGUGAAAUGCGUAGAUAUCGAGAGGAACACUCGUGGCGAAGGCGGGUUCCUGGACAUUAACUGACGCUGAGGCACGAAGGCCAGGGGAGCGAAAGGGAUUAGAUACCCCUGUAGUCCUGGCAGUAAACGGUGCACGCUUGGUGUGCGGGGAAUCGACCCCCUGCGUGCC
rnacentral:rRNA from 1 species